GAUGAAAACGACCCUCAUUCUCGUACGCAGGCGCAUGGGCAAGGCGGUGUGACCGCCGGGCGACAGCCACUCAUGCGCAGACACAGGCUCCCUCGGGGGCCUUUUUUAUUGCCCGCA
rnacentral:sRNA from 1 species